rnacentral:rRNA from 1 species
GACGAACGCUGGCGGCGUGCCUAAUACAUGCAAGUCGAACGCAGUGGGGACGGGUGAGUAACACGUGGGUAACCUCCCAUCAGAGGGGAUAACACUUGGCAACAGGUGCUAAACCGAUACUGAUGGAUGGACCCGCGGUGCAUUAGCUAGUUGGUGAGGUAACGGCGCACCAAGGCCACGAUGCAUAGCCGACCGGAGAGAGUGAUCAGACACACGGGGAAUGAGACACGGCCCAGACUCAGACGGGAGGCAGCGGUAGGGAAGAUUCGGCAAUGGACGAAAGUCUGACCGAGCAAUGCCGCGUGGGUGAAGAAGGUUUUCGGAUCGUAAAACUCUGUUGUUAGAGAAGCGGUAUCUAACCAGAAAGCCACGGCUAACUACGUGCCAGCCGCCGCGGUAAUAC